AACUUUCGGCAAUGGAUCUCUUGGUUCUGGCAUCGAUGAAGAACGCAGCGAAAUGCGAUAAGUAAUGUGAAUUGCAGAAUUCAGUGAAUCAUCGAUUCUUUGAACGCACAUUGCGCCCCUUGGUAUUCCGAGGGGCAUGCCUGUUCGAGCGUCAUUAUAACCACUCAAGCCUCAGCUUGGUAUUAGGGUUCGCGUGCUCGCGGCCCUUAAAAUCAGUGGCGAUGCCGUCUGGCUCUAAGCGUAGUAAUUCUCUCGCUAUAGAGUCCCGGCGGUUACCUGCCAGAACCCCCCACUUUUAAGGUUGACCUCGGAUCAGGUAGGGAUACCCGCUGAACUUAAGCAUAUCAAUAAGCGGAGGCU
rnacentral:misc_RNA from 1 species